UCACAUUGCACAGUGACAACAUUGAUGCAUUGAUGUUGGUUGGGGCCAUCAGUUUGUUCAAACACACACUACAUGUCUAUACACACUCCUAAACACAUGGAUACUUUUUCAAGCAAGCUCUGUUAUGUCACCGCAAUGAUGUAUAUUUUUACAGGAGGAUUCCUGGAGUCACACUUGAAGCAACGUUCUGAUCCCAUCAGGGACUCCCCAACGAAGAACCUAUCCACAGGGUGCUUGCCAACGAACCCAAACCUCAGGCCUUGCUCCAAGGCCAAGUGUUGGAGGUGUUUACUGUGAUUGGCACUCAGCCCAAGCUCAUGUCAAGGGUACCCCGUCCUUCUUAAGUUCCUGCGUGCCUGAGCAGGUGACUGACUAAGGCUCUGAUUGCCUCACGGCAGAAACACUGAACAGAACAUACCAGACAUGUUGCAGUUUCAGAGGAGGGGGUAUUAUGCAAGAGGUGAUGACAGAUCGAUUACCACGAAUUCAGCUUUGCUCUCUUAAUAAAAAAUUCAACUAAAUGUAAAGUUGUUUUUGUAUAAAAUAAAAAUGCUGUGAUACACAAUAAGAAAAACUAAAGGAAGAUAAUUAAUGUAAAAAAAUGAAUGAUCAUUAAAUCAUUAUUUCACUGGUAGUUUAAAUAUCCAAAAUAAUAAAUAAAAAACACCUGUCAUGUCAAGUCACUUUACAUAGACAAUUAAAUCAAAUCCUAUAGGCAGAUGGGUGAAACAUUUUCUAUCUAAGGAAACUCAGCUGAUUGCAUUCACUCAUUUACUUUCCAAGAUUUUCUUCUCCUGGAUGAAGGUGCAACAAAUAUUGUCUAUAGUUGCUGCCUGGACUGCAGCAUUUUCUCACAGCAAGCAAUAAUUCAACCUAAUGAAAGCAUAUUUUUACUGAAAGAGUAAAACUGUAAAACUGAUUAAAUAUAUUUGUAAAUAAAUAAGA